GACACUAUAGCCAAGUGGUUAAGGCGACAGAUUAGAACUAUUCACUAUCUGUUUCCCUCUGGGAGCGUAGGUUCGAACCCUACUGGUGUCG